CAGUCGCCGCGGUAAUACGGAGGGUGCAAGCGUUAAUCGGAAUUACUGGGCGUAAAGCGCACGCAGGCGGUCUGACAAGUCAGAUGUGAAAUCCCCGGGCUUAACCUGGGAACUGCAUUUGAAACUGUCAGGCUAGAGUCUUGUAGAGGGGGGUGGAAUUCCAGGUGUAGCGGUGAAAUGCGUAGAGAUCUGGAGGAAUACCGGUGGCGAAGGCGGCCCCCUGGACAAAGACUGACGCUCAGGUGCGAAAGCGUGGGGAGCAAACAGGAUUAGAUACCCCUGUAGUCCCUGUCUCUUAUAC
rnacentral:rRNA from 1 species